rnacentral:lncRNA from 1 species
CUUGACAAAGACGAUAGUACCCAUGAGUCUCUGUCUCAAGAAUCAGAGUCGGAAGAAGAUGGGAUUCAUGUAGAUUCACAAAAGGCUCUUGUUUUAAAAGAAAAGGGCAAUAAAUACUUCAAACAAGGAAAAUAUGAUGAAGCAAUUGACUGCUACACAAAAGGCAUGGAUGCCGAUCCAUAUAAUCCCGUGUUGCCAACGAACAGAGCGUCAGCAUAUUUUAGACUGAAAAAGUAAGGACUUUCUGUGACGUGUGUGAAUGUGAAUGUCUUAUGUAUAUAUGGAGACUUAUUAAAAAAAAGUGUGGAAUAAAGUGUGGAGGACAGAUUGAAAAUGUAUUGCAUUUUCUUUUCAACUGUAAAUUCUUAUAGCUCACUCCUUUUUAUUGAAUUAUUUUGUUUAAGCCAUUUUAAACAUCUGGUGCUAAAACCUUGUUCCCAUAGCUCACUUUACUGAGGUAUUCCUCUAAAGAUUUAGUAAUAGUGUUCUUUUCUAAUUCACAAAGCUAAAAAAGUUAGUUGGAUAUUUUUAGAAAUUAAUAUCCUGUCAUUUUGAAAAACCAUUUAU